UACGUAGGGUGCGAGCGUUGUCCGGAAUUAUUGGGCGUAAAGAGCUCGUAGGCGGUUUAGAAAGUCAGGUGUGAAACCUCCAGGCUCAACCUGGAGACGCCACUUGAUACUUCUAUGACUUGAGUUCGGUAGGGGACCAUGGAAUUCCUGGUGUAGCGGUGAAAUGCGCAGAUAUCAGGAGGAACACCGAUGGCGAAGGCAGUGGUCUGGGCCGAUACUGACGCUGAGGAGCGAAAGCGUGGGGAGCGAACAGG
rnacentral:rRNA from 1 species